UUUGCAGAGAGAUGUAACUUUUCAUCUUCAACACAACUAGACUUGACAUGAAGAGCAGCAAAAAGAGAGAGUUCAGCAGUGUUCAGGACCACAUUGCUUAGUGACAUUCCCAUACAAUCCAAGUGGCCUCAGAGCAUCCACAUGACUGGACUUCAUGGAUUAUCUGGAUUAUAUUACAAUAUGGAUAGAUCUCAGAGCGUCUGGCAAACCUGAUAAUGAACAUCAUUGUAGGAAGAGAAACUUGAUGGAGAAAUUGAGGCACAGUCUUACGGGGCUAGGCUCUACCCUCAAGACUGGUGUCAGAGCAGCAGAGACUCCAACUCCUUUCACCCGAGUGGGUAGUGAUAGCCAAAAUUUCUUCAGUGUUUCUUCCAUGGCAUGUCUCCAAGUGGAGUCCUCAUAACAAAGCUGGACUAAUAUCCCAAAGUAAGUGCAGAUACCCUCAGUGGAGUCUGUAAUUAUUCUCUCUGCUGCCUGGCUGCCCUCUCCCCUGCCUUCCCUCUGGGCCUGGACACCUGUGUUGUACUGUGAUUGCCUCUUCAUUUAUGGCAAACAAGUCUGGAUUCUCCCCCUGUAUAUUUUUAAGGCAUUUUGAACAAAUCUGGUUUCUUUUUUCUCUCUUUUUGUCUCGGCGUGUGUUUUUAAUUGGAUCCACUGCUGUACUUUCCCUGCUUGCUAAUGCUUUUCUUUGGGGAAGCACAAGUUUUUAACAACCCUGCAAGUACUCUCUCCUCUUUGCCAAGCCAAGUCCAUUUCUUUCUUGGGGAUAACCUGACUCUGACCUACUUGUCAGCUAUACAACAAAUGCGGUGCUUUCAGAUUAGUCUACUACUGUUCAGAAUCACAAAACUUAGCCAUAAUUUGCAUACCGGCAGGAGAGCAGCAGAAAGUCACACAAGGAAGCUGGUUUCUGCAGGAAGGCUGUGUACUUGCCCUCAGGGAUAUUACCCACUGAUUCCCAAUAUUCAGAAAUGCCUCCCCUAGAUGCUUGCUGUCCUUUCAUACCCCCUAUGCAAUGCUUUUUGGGCAGAGCCUCAAGCUUUAAGUCAGACACGGGUGUCAAAGACUUCAUCCUUUUCAGUUUCUCUAUAGCAUCAUUUGCUUCAAGGAACAUUCCUGUGGUUGCCGCCAGGCUCCUGUCCAGAGGAAAAGAUUCAGGUGGCUUCGUUCCCUUUGUCGUUGUCAGACGUUUACAUUCNNNNNNNNNNNNNNNNNNNNNNNNNNNNNNNGCUGCAUCAUGGAAGUGUCACACACUGAAUUCUUUCCCUCUUUCAGAUAGAAGACAAAAGAAGAGGACAUUCACAUCUCAGUUAUCCGCCCUUUCUGAAUUUCUAAAUGAAGUUACUCUCAAAAAUGAAAUAACAGCCACCUCCACACCUCAGCAAAAGUUUGGUAGCAAAGUACUACUAGAACGAUGGAUCAUGUUUUUAAAGAGAUUUCUUUGUAUAACAGAAUAG
rnacentral:lncRNA from 1 species